rnacentral:tRNA from 3 species
GCGGGAGUAGCUCAGUUGGUAGAGCGCAACCUUGCCAAGGUUGAGGUCGCGGGUUCGAGCCUCGUCUCCCGCU